CAACAUUUGCCAAUUCCUGAACAAUACGAAUCAGAGAAACAAGAUUGGCUACAAAUGUACACUGGUAAUGGUGGUGGACAGGAACCUGGUUUCUCAACAAAUGGUUCAUAUCUAUGUUCAUAUCUAUGAAAAUAUAUAAAUUGUAUAGAGAAAUCAAUUAUAAUUAAUUAAUUAACAAAAUAGGAACAAACCUGGAUUCACCAUAUGUAAUGGUGAAGUAUAACACCAGUGUGAAAAUGAUUAAAAAAAGCUUCAUUGUUCAAUGUUUUCCUUGCAUAAAAUUACUAAAAGCAAAAUUACAAAAGAAUAGCAUUAAUUGAAAUAAAAUUAUGAAACUGUUGCUUUAUUCUUACUUAAAGAGGCGAUUGUGACUUCCGUUUUGUCAGAGGGAGAGCAAUUUCUCUACUAUAUAAGAUUGAUCAUUACACUUGAUAAUAAAUGUGCGGAGCAUGUAGCAAUUCCGUAAGGGAAAUUGAGAAUCGUUGUUCCUACUUCGGAUGUCGAACCGCAGCGAUAAUUAACCGGACAAAUUCAAUUAACAAGAAAUCUAAAUCGAACGGAAGGAAGA